UGGUUACCUUGUUACGACUUAACCCCAAUCAUGCCCCCCACCUUAGGCCGACGAAUCGGACUUCGGGUGUUGGUCACUUUCAUGGUUUGACGGGCGGUGUGUACAAGACCCGGGAACGUAUUCACCGCAGCAUGCUGAUCUGCGAUUACUAGCGAUUCCGACUUCAUGGAGGCGAGUUUCAGCCUCCAAUCCGAACUGAGAUUGGCUUUGAUGCGAUUUGCUCCACCUCGCGGCUUCGCUGCGCAUUGUACCAACCAUUGUAUCGUGUUUCUAGCCCAGGAUGUAAGAGAAACACUGACCUGACCUCAUCCCCUCCUUCCUCCCCGUUUCCGGGGCAGUCUGAUUAGAAAAAUACAACUAAUCACAAGGGUUGCGCUCGUUGAUGGACUUAACCAAACAUCUCACGACACGAGCUGACGACGGCCAUGCAUCAUCUGUCACUUGGCUCAAUAAAGCACUCUCGCCUUUCGGCAAGAUUCCAAGGAUGUCAAACCCUGGUAAGGUUUUCCGUUUAUCAUCGAAUUAAAGAACACGAUCCACCGCUUGUGCGGGUCCCCGUCAAUUCCUUUAUGUUUUAGUCUUGCGACCGUACUCCACAGGCGGGAUACUUAACGCGUUAGCUUCGCUACUGAAGGGGUCGAUACCUCCAACAGCUAGUAUCCAUCGUUUACGGCGUGGACUACCCGGGUAUCUAAUCCGGUUCGCUCCCCACGCUUUCGUGCCUCAGUGUCAGAAAUGGUCCAGUAACCUGCCUACGCCAUUGGUGUUCCUUCUUAUAUCUACGGAUUUCACUCCUACACAAGAAAUUCCAGUUACCUCUACCACUCUCGAGUUUGUGAGUUCGAAUAAUAGCCUGUACGGUUGAGCCGCCAGAUUUCACUAUUCGCUUUACAAACCACCUACGCAACUCUUUACGCCCAGUCACUCCGGAUAACGCUCGGAUCCUACGUAUUACCGCGGCUGCUGGCACGUAGUUAGCCGUGGCUUUCUGGUCAGGUACCGUCAAGGUACCGGCAGUGACUCCGGUACUUGUUCUUCCCUGACAACAGAGCUUUACGACCCGAAGGCCUUCUUCGCUCACGCGGCGUUGCUCCAUCAGACUUUCGUCCAUUGUGGAAGAUUCCCUACCGCUGCCUCCCGUAGGAGUCUGGGCCGUGUCUCAGUCCCAGUGUGGCCGAUCACCCUCUCAGGUCGGCUACGCAUCGUCGCCUUGGUGAGCCGUUACCUCACCAACUAGCUAAUGCGCCGCGGGCCCAUCUGUAAGUGACAGCCGAAACCGUCUUUCAGCUUUCCAACAUGUGUUGAAAAGAUUGAUCCGGUAUUAGCUCCGGUUUCCCGAAGUUAUCCCAGUCUUACAGGCAGGUUGCCCACGUGUUACUCACCCGUCCGCCGCUAACCAUAGGGAGCAAGCUCCCAAUGAUCCGCUCGACUUGCAUGUAUUAGGCACGCCGCCAGCGUUCGUCCUGAGCCAGGAUCAAACUCU
rnacentral:rRNA from 1 species